rnacentral:rRNA from 1 species
AUACGUAGGGGGCGAGCGUUGUCCGGAUUGAUUGGGCGUAAAGGGCGCGUAGGCGGCCCGGUAAGUCUGGAGUGAAAGUCCUGUUUUUAAGAUGGGAAUUGCUUUGGAUACUGUCGGGCUUGAGUGCAGGAGAGGUAAGUGGAAUUCCCAGUGUAGCGGUGGAAUGCGUAGAGAUUGGGAGGAACACCAGUGGCGAAGGCGACUUACUGGAGUGUAACUGACGCUGAGGCGCGAAAGUGUGGGGAGCAAACAGGAUUAGAUACCCUGGUAGUCCGCACUGUAAACGAUGAAUGCUAGGUGUAGGGGGUAUCGACCCCUUCUGUGCCGCAGUCAACACAAUAAGCAUUCCGCCUGGGGAGUACGGCCGCAAGGUUGAAACUCAAAUGAAUUGGCGGGG